CUGUCUCCACCCGAGACUCAGUGAAAUUGAACUCGCUGUGAAGAUGCAGUGUACCCGCGGCAAGACGGAAAGACCCCGUGAACCUUUACUAUAGCUUGACACUGAACAUUGAGCCUUGAUGUGUAGGAUAGGUGGGAGGCUUUGAAGCGUGGACGCCAGUCUGCGUGGAGCCAACCUUGAAAUACCACCCUUUAAUGUUUGAUGUUCUAACGUUGGCCCCUUAUCGGGGUUGCGGACAGUGUCUGGUGGGUAGUUUGACUGGGGCGGUCUCCUCCCAAAGAGUAACGGAGGAGCACGAAGGUUAGCUAAUCCUGGUCGGACAUCAGGAGGUUAGUGCAAUGGCAUAAGCUAGCUUGACUGCGAGCGUGACGGCGCGAGCAGGUGCGAAAGCAGGUCAUAGUGAUCCGGUGGUUCUGAAUGGAAGGGCCAUCGCUCAACGGAUAAAAGGUACUCCGGGGAUAACAGGCUGAUACCGCCCAAGAGUUCAUAUCGACGGCGGUGUUUGGCACCUCGAUGUCGGCUCAUCACAUCCUGGGGCUGAAGUAGGUCCCAAGGGUAUGGCUGUUCGCCAUUUAAAGUGGUACGCGAGCUGGGUUUAGAACGUCGUGAGACAGUUCGGUCCCUAUCUGCCGUGGGCGCUGGAGAAUUGAGGGGGGCUGCUCCUAGUACGAGAGGACCGGAGUGGACGCAUCACUGGUGUUCGGGUUGUCAUGCCAAUGGCAUUGCCCGGUAGCUAAAUGCGGAAGAGAUAAGUGCUGAAAGCAUCUAAGCACGAAACUUGCCCCGAGAUGAGUUCUCCCUGAGACUUUAAGUCUCCUGAAGGAACGUUAAAGACGAUGACGUUGAUAGGUCGGGUGUGUAAGCGUAGCGAUACGUUGAGCUAACCGAUACUAAUGAACCGUGAGGCUUAACCUUACAACGCCGAAG
rnacentral:rRNA from 1 species